rnacentral:rRNA from 1 species
UACAGAGGGUGCAAGCGUUAAUCGGAAUUACUGGGCGUAAAGCGCGCGUAGGCGGCUUGACAAGUCGAGUGUGAAAUCCCCGGGCUUAACCUGGGACCUGCAUUCGAAACUGUCUUGCUAGAGUAUGGGAGAGGGAAGUGGAAUUUCAGGUGUAGCGGUGAAAUGCGUAGAUAUCUGAAGGAACAUCAGUGGCGAAAGCGACUUCCUGGACCAAUACUGACGCUCAGGUGCGAAAGCGUGGGGAGCAAACAGGAUUAGAUACCCUGGUAGUCCACGCCAUAAACGAUGACAACUAGAUGUUGGGAGGGUUAGCCUCUCGGUGUCGUAGCUAACGCGUUAAGUUGUCCGCCUGGGGAGUACGGCCGCAAGGUUGAA